UGGACACCUGACUAUCUUAAGGCUUGGUCGUGUGAUUAGACAGAGUGUACCUAAAUGCGCAGAGGAAGCAGGAAGUGGGGGAGCAGCAGACAAACCAAUAACAAACAUAACAAAACGAGCGUGCAAAAUUCGUUUAAGUUGUACAGAGAGCUCGAAUGCAUGAGAAGCUGGUGGAGAGGAGUGGGCAGGAGUAGCGGCAACGGCAUAGGGCAAAGCCAGUGGCUGAAUCAGAGGCUGGUCUGGUGCAUUGGUGAUGACACAGCAGCAGAGCAGUGUUUGUUGGUGGUUGGACAGGGAGGCACAAACAUAUUCAUAGUACUCCUCAGACACAUACACACAGACACAUUCAAAAAAUUAUACAAAGCAGGGACACGCGGCGGCUCUUGGCUUAAGCAACAUUUGAUUGUCGGGCGAAAACCAGUAUAAUUGCACAAACACACACACACACACAAAG
rnacentral:lncRNA from 1 species